GCAGGACGGGGUCUGGGAGGUGGGUCCAUGGGCUCCAGAGGGGCUGGACCACAGCGAGAAGAACAAGGCCAUCCUCCAUGGGCAGCGCAGACCGGCUCAGGCCCUGCCCCUCCUGCCGUGGUCCCCUGUGACGGGAUGCAAGGGCACUGCUGGGGAGCAGGGUGGGCUGUUAGAGCUGGGCAGAGGCCACAGUGGCCAGAGGGCUGGUGGGAGUGGCUCUCGUGCCCAGUCCUGAGCUGGCAGUGGCUCAAGCCUUUGCAGCGUGGCCCUGUCUGCCUCUGUGUGUGUCUGGGCUCCUCUCAUUUGGCCGCCCUGCCCAUCUACACUGGUGCCCCCCCACCUGCACUGCCCGCCGGGCCAGGCUCUGUCUCUGCCACCUGUUGGGUUCUUGCCAGACUCCGCCAUCCUCUCCGCUCCCAGCUUGCGGCUUCUGCCUCCGCUCCCUACCAGGAAGAGAAAGGGCCAGGCCACGCCGGACCAGGACUGGGCACAGCCUCCAGCACUCCAGAUGGACAGGCUGAGACGCGCAGCAAGCGAGGCAGCCUGGGACAGGCAGCCGCAUGAGGACCAGCGCCUGCUCACCGCUGUGUCCCUCCUACGUGCGGGGCAGGCACCCAGCAGCAGGUGUUCGGUGCCCCCUGGGGGCGUGCCUGGGCCCCUGCUCCUGCUCCUCAGAGGGAACAAACAACUGACCUGCUGACGGAGGCUGUGAACCCACACGGGUUGUCUGCAGACGUAACGGGGCAUCUCCUAUGACACUUCUGGAGAGGGCAAGGCUCCACGGCUGAGGGCUUUCUUUGGGUGACAACCAUGUGAAAUGCCAUGACCUUGUGCCACCCCGUGGCAGAUGACUCUCUCAGAAGGUGGUGCGUACCCUUCCCCCAUUAUGGUGUGGACACGACUCCAGAACUGUGAGAGGCGAUGGUUCCAUGACUUCCUGGCUGUAGUCACUGCUGUUGGGCAGCUGUGGGUGACCCUGAAGGGACACUCUGAUAAGGGACAUCUGCCUGCAUGUGUGACCUGAGUCC
rnacentral:lncRNA from 1 species